GAUGAAGAACGUAGCGAAAUGCGAUAAGUAAUGUGAAUUGCAGAAUUCAGUGAAUCAUCGAAUCUUUGAACGCACAUUGCGCCCGCCAGUAUUCUGGCGGGCAUGCCUGUUCGAGCGUCAUUUCAACCCUCAAGCCCAGCUUGGUGUUGGGGAUCGGCACAGGCGCCCUCGGGCGCCCGCCGUCCCCUAAAUCUAGUGGCGGUCCCGCUGCAGCCUCCUCUGCGUAGUAGUUUUCUCCUCGCAAGGGCAGCUCGGUGGCGACCUCGCCGUAAAACCCCCAACUUCUGAAAGGUUGACCUCGAAUCAGGUAGGAAUACCCGCUGAACUUAAGCAUAUCACUAAGCGGAGGA
rnacentral:misc_RNA from 1 species